rnacentral:rRNA from 1 species
AGAACGAACGCUGGCGGCAGGCCUAAUACAUGCAAGUCGAACGCCGUAGCAAUACGGAGUGGCAGACGGGUGAGUAGCGCGUGGGAACCUUCCUAAUGGUACGGAAUAGCCCGGGGAAACCCGGAGUAAUACCGUAUAAGCCCGUAAGGGGAAAGAUUUAUCGCCAUUAGAUGGGCCCGCGUCGGAUUAGCUAGUUGGUAGGGUAACGGCCUACCAAGGCUACGAUCCGUAGCUGGUCUGAGAGGAUGAUCAGCCACACUGGGACUGAGACACGGCCCAGACUCCUACGGGAGGCAGCAGUAGGGAAUAUUGGACAAUGGGCGAAAGCCUGAUCCAGCCAUGCCGCGUGAGUGAUGAAGGCUUCGGGUUGUAAAGCUCUUUUGGCGGGACGAUAAAUGACGGUACCCGCAGAAUAAAGCCCGGCUAACUCGUGCCAGCAGCCGC